rnacentral:lncRNA from 1 species
UGCAAAGUAGGGCUAACUUGGAUGAGGGCUGCUGCGGAGGACUAUUUCUGGACCCACUGGCCCAAACAGGCUCCAAGGUGCUGGCAUCUCCUAGCUGUGACACACAGAUAUUGCUUUCCUGAGACAGCGUUCUCUAAAAGAAGACUCUCUGGUCACAAGAUGUCACACCUCAGCAAGAAGCCAAACGAACAGGCCAUCUGUCUGCAUCCUCUGCGUGGCAUUGAGAGGGAAUCAUCCAACAGACAAAUCACAUCAAGGGGCAAUCUCAACCCAGAGAAGGUAAGAGAGAGAUUUCAGGCACGCCUUCCACUCAAGCGUGACUUUUCCUCUU